AUUCCAGCUCCAAUAGCGUAUAUUAAAGUUGUUGCGGUUAAAAAGCUCGUAGUUGGAUUUCUGCUGAGGACGACCGGUCCGCCCUCUGGGUGAGUAUCUGGCUUGGCCUUGGCAUCUUCUUGGAGAACGUAGCUGCACUUGACUGUGUGGUGCGGUAUCCAGGACUUUUACUUUGAGGAAAUUAGAGUGUUUCAAGCAGGCACACGCCUUGAAUACAUUAGCAUGGAAUAAUAAGAUAGGAUCUCGGUUCUAUUUUGUUGGUUUCUAGAGCUGAGGUAAUGAUUGAUAGGGAUAGUUGGGGGCAUUCGUAUUUAACUGUCAGAGGUGAAAUUCUUGGAUUUUGGAAAGAUGAACUACUGCGAAGGCAUUUACCAAGGAUGUUUUCAUUA
rnacentral:rRNA from 1 species